UGGCGCCCCUCUGGCGCUUCUUCGGCCCAGUAUUUUUCAUAAAUCCGGAAAAAAAAUCCUCGUUAAUUUUUACGGCGUUUGGAGUUGCGCAGAAUAGGUAUCUCAACUUUGCUCCACUUUCAGGCCAGAAUUCCAGCUGCUGGCAUUCUCCCUCUUCAUGUAAACCUUGCAAAAUAAGAGAGAAAAGGCAUAAGAAUUGUACCGUGAAGUGAAAUAACAGCCCAAGAAGCGAUAAAUAUCAACAUGAAAACAUGAUGCAAAAUGGACGUAUCACGCGCCACCCUGCAGGAGAAGGAUGAUUCCUAUGCUGCCGACACGGAGCGUCUCAAGACGGCUCAUCUCGAGGAGAUGAAGCUCAAGGACACUGCCCUGAAGGAGAAGGGGGAAGCCCUGAUCCAGAGGCAGGCGCAGCUGGCCAAGGCACUGGAGGCGGCUGCGGCCCUCCAGGAAGAGAUCUCCCGCGCAACUCAAGCGAGCAAGGUGCGGGAGCUCGAGGCCCUGGAGAAUGCCCACGAAACCGACACCCAUUUCGACCGUAAGUCCUUUUUAUUUUGUCUUGAUUUUUUCUUCUUUGCUGCUUCCUCCUCUUAUUCUUCUUCGCACCCCUUCCCCUAUCCCAGGAUUCUUCCCUGAGACACGGGAAGCGGCUCAAACGGCUGUCGAGGUCAGCCGCGAGGAGCGUUGCGUUGCAGGGCAGGAGGUAGAGGCCACUGUCGGCUGGAGUGUGGAGGAGAUUAGCGUGGGCCUCAGAGCCCGCCUGCGUGCUCUGGCCGAAUCCAUGGAGCGGCUUUAGAAUGCAGGCUCGUCGAUGAUAAAGGCUCUCUGGCCCGACGUCAUGGAGCCGGCGUCGAUGAGUCGGCUCUCCCGCUGGCUUGCGACUGGCGACGAUCGCCUUGACGCCUGGCGCGCCUCAGCCGCGCGUGCUGGUGCCUACAUGGCGCUGCGCUUUGCCAAGUCCUGGUACCGGAACCUGGACUUGGGCAACCUCGUCGCGCAGCGCAACGACUCGGAGGGGGAGUUGCACGUCGUGGAGGAGGAGCUACGUGUGAGGGCCAGCGACAUUGCCUCGUACGCCUCCUCGGAUGAGCUCAACUUGGAGCGGGAUGAAGACGGCAACGUGGUCCCUGAGGGUCUGCACCGUCUUCAGCAUUAUGACGCCAAUGGCAGCUCCGACGAGGCGGCCCAUGAGGAGGAAGACACCGCCUCCAGCGGCGAGGCGUAUGCCGACUCCGCCAAGGACGGAGCCGGAAGCUCUGGUGGAGGAGACGACGCCACCGCCUCGGGAGCAGCUGGCGAUGGUGAAGCCACCACUUCAAGAGCAGCAGCCGGGGCAACAUAUGAGGUCGCCGCCCCUUAGUCGGUCCUGUUUUUGUUUUGGUUGUCUACAAUAUAUUGUCAGUCCAACAGUUCCACCCACAAGGGGGUGUAAUGAACUUCGGCCGUGGGCCAAUGCUUUUGAAUGUAUGAAUUCUGCAUUAAAUUCAUAAUGCCAUGCGUGCUGCUUUGUGUUUUCAUCUUUUGAUUCCUGCUUGACUUCUUUUUCUCUAACCCCUUUACUCCCUCUAGCAUCUACCCCGCCAGCCCGACAGCCGGGAGCCGGUCUGUGACUGGGUCGAGGCUUCUGCCUUUGGGGAUAUUGGACUUAGAUUUUUCGAAGCCAUCAAGACUUAAAGACUCAAACGCAAACCAGCAGAGGCCGGCUAGAAUAAGAUUGCAAAAAAGGAUCAAACCAACCCGAGCCGGCACCCCUUUUUGUAGUUUGAACUUUUCGCGCAGCAGGCCUUACCGGGCGCUGCCUCGCUAGCCGGAUGAUAUGUCUCAAACGUAUCUAUAUUUUUUGAUGGUUUCAUGUUGUUUUCUUGUCAACUUUGGAUGUUUUAUGUACCUUUUGUAUCUUUUUUGGGACUAACUUAUUAAUUCAGUGCCAAGUGCCAGUUCCUGUUUUUUUUUACUCUUUUCAGAUCUGAUUUUGGAACGGAGUCCAAACGGAAUAAAAUCCCCGAAAUAAAUUUUUCCAGAACAAAAGAAGAUCGGGGGACUUGAGGGCCAAGGCAGGAGAGCCACACGGGCCCCACAAGCCCUGUAGCCGCCACCAGGGGGGCCGGCGGCUACCAGGCUUGUGGCCCCCCUGGAGCUCCCCUGCCCUAGCUCUUUCGCCUAUAAAUUCCCUAAAAUCCAGAAAAAAAUCAGGGCAUCCACGAAAAUACUUUUCCGCCGCCGCAAGCGUCCGUUUCCGCGAGAUCUCAUCUGGAGACCCUUCCCGGUGCCCUGUCGGAGGGGACUUUGGAUUUGGAGGGCUUCUACAUCAACAUCAUCGCCUCUCCAAUGACUCGUGAGUAGUCCACUUCAAACCUACGGGUCCGUAGUUAGUAGCUAGAUGGCUUCUUCUCUCUCUUGGAUCUUCAAUACAAAGUUCUCCAUGAUCUUCAUGGAGAUCUAUCGAUGUAAUCCUCUUUGGCGGUGUGUUUGUCGAGAUCCGAUGAAUUGUGGAUUUAUGAUCAGAUUAUCUAUGAAUUAUAUUUGAGUCUUUGCUGAUUUCUUAUAUGCAUGAUUUGAUAUCCUUGUAAGUCUCUCCGAGUCUUGGGUUUUGUUUGGCCAACUAGAUCUAUGAUUCUUGCAAUGGGAGAAGUGCUUGGUUUUGGGUUCAUACCGUGUGGUGACCUUUCCCAGUGAUAGAAGGGGUAUCAAGGCACGCAUCGUGUUGUUGCCAUCAAGGGUAACAAGAUGGGCUUUUAUCAUAGAUAUGAGAUUGUCCAUCUACAUCAUGUCAUCUUGCUUAAGGCGUUACUCUGCUCUUAUGAAAUUAAUACACUAGAUGCAUGCUGGAUAGCGGUCGACGUGUGGAGUAAUAGUAGUAGAUGCAAAAAGUAUCGGCCUACUUGUUUUGGACGUGAUGCCUAUAGAUAUAAUCAUUGCCUUAGAUAACGUCAUGACUUUGCGCGGUUCUAUCAAUUGCUCGACAGUAAUACGUUCACCCACCGUCUACUUGCUUUCUUGAGAGAAGCCACUAGUAAACACUACGGCCCCCGGGUCUAUUCACAACUAUCGUUUCCACUUUCACUUUUACUUUGCUUUGUUUACUUUUUGCUUUCAGUUCUCACUUUGCAAACAAUCUAUAAGGGAUUGACAACCCCUUCAUAGCAUUGGGUGCAAGCUUUUUGUGUUUGUGCAGGUACUUGUGACUUGACGCGAUCCUCCCUCUGGAUCGAUACCUUGGUUCUCAAAACUGAGGGAAAUACUUACCGCUGUUGUGCUACAUCACCCGUUCCGCUUCGAGGGAACACCAACGCAAGGCUCCAAGGCCACGGGAGUCCCUAAAGGUGUAGCCGUAGCAGAAGAAUUCCGGGCGCCGUUUUUGAGUAGUAUCAAGACAAGAAUAGUCUCCCGUCAACACACCUAUUUCUGGCGCCGUUGGAAGGUCUUUUGUUGCAGUAGCAGAAGUAUUUCUGGCGCCGUUGUCGGGGAAGGAGAGAUCAAGUCAAGAUAUAUCCAAGUAGGUGUCACAAACUCAUCUCUUGCAUUUACUUUUUUUUGCCAGUUGCCUCUCGUUUUCCUCUCCCCCACUUCACAUUUGCCGUUUUCAUUUGCCUUUCUCCUUUGUCGUUUUAUUUUGCCUUUUGUCGUUUUCCUUGGCCGGUUUUCUUGCUUGCUUGUGUUAUUUUUGGUUUGUUGAAGUCAUCAUGGCUGAAAACACCAAACUUUGCGACUUCUCGAGUACCAAUAAUAAUGAUUUUAUUAGUACUCCGAUUGCUCCCGCCACUAGUGCGGAAUCGUAUGAAAUCAACGCUGCCUUGCUGAAUCUUGUUAUGAAAGAGCAAUUCUCUGGCCUUCCUAGUGAAGAUGUCGCAUCCCAUCUCAAUACCUUCAUUGAACUUUGCGAUAUGCAAAAGAAAAGAGAUGUGGAUAAUGACGUGAUUAAGUUGAAGCUUUUUUCCUUUCUCGUUGCGAGAUCGCGCAAAAACUUGGUUUUCUUCUUUGCCUAAAAAUAGUAUCGAUUCUUGGGAUAAGUGCAAAGAUGCUUACAUAUCCAAGUAUUUUCCGCCGGCUAAGAUUAUCUCCUUACGUAACGAUAUCAUGAAUUUCAAGCAACUUGAUCAUGAACACGUUGCACAAUCUUGGGAGAGGAUGAAGUUAAUGAUUAGAAAUUAUCCUGCUCAUGGCUUGAGUUUGUGGAUGAUUAUACAAAUCUUUUACGCUGGUUUGAAUUUUGCUUCUCGCAAUAUCUUGGACUCCGCCUCAGGUCGAAAAUUCAUGGAAAUCACGUUAGGAGACGCUACAAAAUUCCUAGACAAUAUCAUGACCAACUACUCUCAGUGGCACACUGAAAGGUCACCUUCUAGCAAAAAGGUACACGCUAUAGAAGAAAUUAACUCGCUUAGUGCUAAGAUGGACGAGUUGAUGAAUUUGGUUACUAGUAGAAGUGCUCCUUUAGAUCCUAAUGGCAUGCCACUAUCUUCCUUGAUUGAGAGUAGCAACGCUAGUUUGGACGUUAAUUUUGUUGGUAGGAACAAUUUUGGCAACAACAAUGCUUUUAGAGGAAACUAUGUUCCUAGACCUUUUCCUAGUAACUCCUCUAACAAUUAUGGCAAUUCCUACAACAACACUUAUGGAAAUCACAACAAAUUACCCUCUGAUUUAGAGAGUAAUAUCAAAGAGUUCAUCAACUCUCAAAACAUUUUCAAUGCAUCCAUAGAGGAAAAACUACUCAAAAUAGACGAUUUGGCUAAAAGCGUGGAUAGGAUGUCUUGUGAUAUUGAUGCUUUGAAAGUUAGAUGUGCUCCUCCCAAGGUCAACUUGGAUGAAACUUUAAAAGCUAUGUGUGUCUCCAUGAAUGAGAGCAAAGAAAGAACCGCCCAAAUUCGCGCUAGGCAUGAAUGGUUUAAAAGGGUGUGUUCUAGUGAUGCAAAUCACGAAUAUCUUAAAGUGCUUGGUGUGACUCCUCUUGAAUCUUUGUUUUCGCGUGACAAACCUAUUGAUGAAGGGGCUGGAUAUGAAUCCACUUUGGUUGAAAAACGCCCCAAUGAUUCGGAGCCCACCUAUCUUGAUGAUAAAGGUGUGGAGAGUGGAGUAGAAGAAAUCAAAAUAUUGGGUAGUAAUGAAACUCCCACUUUGGAUUUCAAGGAAUUCAAUUAUGAUAGUUGCUCCUUGUUUGAAUGCAUUUCUUUGAUGCAAUCCAUUGCAAACUCUCCACAUGCUUAUAGCCAGAGCAAAGCCUUUACCCCUCGUAUCGUAGAUGCUAUGAUGAAAUCUCUUGAAGAGAAGCUCGAAUUAGAAGUCUCUAUACCUAGAAAACUUCAUGAUGAGUGGGAACCUACUAUCAAAAUCAAAAUAAAAAACUAUGAAUGCAAUGCUUUGUGUGAUUUGGGUGCUAGUGUUUCCGCGAUUCCAAAGUCUUUAUGUGAUAUUCUUGGUUUUCAUGAGAUUGAAGAGUGUUCUCUUAAUUUGCAUCUUGCGGAUUCUACUGUCAAGAAACCCAUGGGAAGGAUCGAUGAUGUUCUUAUUGUUGCAAAUAAGAACUAUGUACCCGUGGAUUUCAUUGUACUUGACAUAGAUUGCAAUCCUUCAUGUCCCAUUAUUCUUGGUAGACCUUUCCUAAGGACUAUUGGUGCUAUCAUCGAUAUGAAGGAAGGGAAUAUUAGAUUUCAAUUUCCUCUAAAGAAGGGCAUGGAGCAUUUUCCUAGAAAUAAAAUAAGAUUGCCUUAUGAAUCUAUGAUGAGGGCUACUUAUGGUUUGAGCACCAAAGAUGACUAUACGUGAUUCCAUCACCUUUUGCCUAGCUAAGGGCGUUAAACAAUAGUGCUUGUUGGGAGGCAACCCAAGAAUUUAUCUUUGCUUUUUGCUUUCUGUUUUGUUGCCUCGGAAACUGGAGUGAGGUCGUAGGUGGAGUUAUACUCGCGCUGUGUGGCCUCCAUCCGGCGUUUAGCCGAGGCGAUGGCAAUGCCCUCCUCCAAGAUCUGCCUGCGAGCCUCCUCCAGCGAGGCUCGUGCAUCGGUGGGGUUUGUGGAGGUGGAGAUGGGCGUCUUCAGGCCGGUAAGCGCGGCCUGAAGAGUGUCAGCGGUGACAGCAGGCUCACCAGCGUCUGCUGACGCCUUGCCAUGAGCCGUGCCGGUGCCAGCGCCGAUGACCAUCACCUCCACGAUGUUGGAGACGGUGGCGACAUGAUACGUGGUGAAGAACACCGCGGACGACGAAGGACCGUCGAAGACGAGUACGUUGUUGGGGUACACGUCGAAUGUAGGCAUCUCAGCGAUAGAGAGCCUACUGAAUCUAGCGCAUAGCGCCUCUACAUCGAAGUCCUCGCCAAAGUAGCGAAGACCAUCGUUGAGGUGCAAAUCGCUAAAGAGAACGUUGAGGUUCUCCAUAGCAGCGACGACGGCGUUGGGGAGCGACUCGUCGUCGGACUCCCCAUCCGAAUCUGCAUGACGGACUGGGACGUCUAUCAUCAUCGGUGAAGCCUCACCGAAGGCAGGCUCCACGGGCAUGCAGAUCGGUCCGGACGCGAUGCAUCCGGCGGUGUAAGCGCGGGGCCCCGCCCAGUGCGUGAAGCCAGCCGAUGCUGCGGACGACCCCACGGUGGGCACCAAAUGUCGGGUUUACUCACAACAUAAGCCAUGGGUAGGCUAAAGAUGGUGGGAACCGAAGUGGCACCGGAGGAUGCUGGGAACGAGGUUGGUACAAGCAUGGAACGCACGAUGUACCCAGGUUCAGGGCUCUCCGUAGAGAUAUCACCCCUAAUCCUGUCGGUGUGUAUGAUGUAUGAAUGGGACUACAAAAUGCUCCGAGAGCUGUAUUGCGGAGGGGGAAGAAGGAGCUGCCGGCUCGCGUCUGUCUCUCCUAUGUGGUUGGUGUGUGUGCUGAGUUGACCGACCCUCUGCAUGGAGGGGGGUGAGGGGUUUUAUAGACGAACCCACCGACCUACAAUAUGGAUAAAAGGUACAAGAGUGGUACCCGGCUGGCAGCCUCGCCGGCUAGCCAGGGGGGCCACGGGGGUCUUGUCUUGUCGCUGGAGGGGCCCGCCGGCUGCGAGGUCUCGUCUGGUUGUGGGACCCGUCGGCUAGCCAAUAAGGCUCUCGCGUAAGGUUGACGCAGGACACGUGUGGUACGUCCGGCGUCGUCCAGCGAGAUUCGUCAUGCGCAAACAGUACGGCCGUCUCCACUGUUCUCACGCCGAGUGCAGUAAUGGAGUGGAAGUUUGACUCGUCGACACUGUGCAGGGUGAUGGAUCAGAGCCGGAGGAGGUCAGCGGCGCGGCCGCCGACGCUGUACCCGCCGUGCAUCCCGAUCCAGUACAUUUGGUGACGUGUAGCCACCUUUAACCAUAGGGUCUCGUCUUGACCUACGGCCUGAUGUGACUUGUGCUUCCUAGUCGGCUAGUCGCUUGACUAGCCGGCCCAGGCACGGUCGCCUGGCUUGGCCUAGGCGGCCAGGAGGAGGUAGCCGUCUCGCCUCUAGCCGGCAGGUGCUUCCUGGCCGGCCAGAGAGUUGGCCGCCUCGCCCCCCAGCCGGCAGGUGCUUCCUAGCCGGUCAGGGGGCUUGGGCUUUGUAGAAUUGUUCUGGUUACUCCUUCUUGGCUGAAGGUAAAGGAGCAGGCUCGCUGAGCCUAUCCCGGGGUUAUCCUCCGACAAUGGUUGAACCGUUUGCAUAAUGAAGGUCGAACACUCGCGGGAUUCUUAGGCAAAAGAGAAAAUAUUACGGGACGUUUCCGUUCUGGGCCUCUGGAAUGCAAAUACACUGUUUUUUUAGUAAACUAUAAAUUAUUACUAAAUAUUAAAUUUUCUGAUUUUUUUUUUAGUUUUUAAUGUUAGUAUAACAAGUGUGCUUUACAAUUUUCAUACGAAACAGAUUAUAGUGCUUCAUGGAUGGAAAAGGAAAAUUAGAUGUCACAUUUGAAGUUAACGUUUGGCGUUUUCCUUGUUAUUUCUGCAUAGGGCAAAAUGGGUAACCUUUUCUCCAUCAAAAUUCGUAGGUAACAUUUGGGUGUGUCAAAAAACACAUUUAUUUCUUUACCUAUUAAUAAAACACCUAUUGCUUCUGUGGUACGUCAUUAAAAUUGUCCUCGAAGUUGGCUUAAAUUACCCACUAUGCCACCCAUAAUUGAAAAAAACAGUUCAUAUUUUUUUCCUGUCAAAGCUAUCCUUCUUAAGGACCGAGACCCUAAUCUAUCAUUACCUUCUGUUUGGCGUAGUGGCUCGAGCUGCUCUCCUGUACGCAUGCACCUCCUUUGUCCUAGCACCAGUUCAUGAGGCCGUCCAUAUUUUAUUUUUUCAAUUUGAUUUUUCUUUAUAAAUUAAAUAGGGAAUUUUCAGAAACCCAAUUUUUAAAAGUUGUGAAAUUUGAAAAAAAAAUCAUGAAACCAUAAAUUGUUCUAUAAUUCAAAAAAUGCUUUGGGAAAUCAUUAAAUGUUUACAGAUUCAAAAAAAUGUGGACGAUUUUAAAAAAUUGUUCGCAUAUUAUAAAAUAAUUCAUGAUUUUCAAAAAUAUAUUUAGCAAAAAUAAAACAUCGAUAACUCGGAAAAUGAUCAUGCAUUAAAAACAUAUUCAUGAGUUCGAAGAAAAUGUCUAUGAAAUUUUUAAAAAAUGUUCACAAAAACUAAAAAAAAUCAUUAAAUUCAAGAUUUGUUCUCUAAUUUCAAAAAAGUUCAUCGAUUCAAAACAUGUUUGCUAAGUAAAAAACUGUCCAUGCAUUUCAUACAAAAAAUAAGUAAAAAUAACUAAAAUUUAUAUUCCCCGUUGCAACGCACGGGUCCUUGUGCUAGUAUAAUAAAAGGUCGCGAGAAAUAUUUCUAGUGUGCAGGAGCAUAUGCUCCGAAAAGCCGAAUUGGAUCCUGGAAAUAUCACCCACUAGAUCUCCCAAGAUAAUCUGCUGCAUUUGCAGGAUCGAGUGGGUUUGUGCACGUUCCGACGAACAAUUAGACCCAGCAUGCAUGAAUGGAUUGAGGUGAGAUCUUACCGGCGACCACUGAGGAGCGUGCGUCCUGGUGCGGCUGCAGGAGCAGGAGAGGGACGUUGGUCCGAACUCCAGAGGGCUCUGGUUUGGAACACGAAAGAAGUGGAGUAGCAGACUCGAGGGGGAGG
rnacentral:lncRNA from 1 species